GCCUGGUGAGUGACAUAAAUAGCAGCCGGGAUUAGGGGCUGUACGGAGCCCCAGCAGCCCAGGGCUGGAUGCGGCCUCGGCCCAGGUCCCCCCCCCCCGGCUGGCGGGUCCCCUCCUGGGCGACCCUUGGGGCUGGGAAGGGGCUUCUGCAUGGAAAGAGGAGGCGAGACACCCGGUGAAAGUGUGGGGGCUGGGGUAAGAGACACUGAUUGAAUAGCAAUGACUGCAUGAUUUAUGGUUUGCAUUAUUGCAUGGCUCAUUUGAAUAUAUGCUAAUAAGGCUUUUCUCCUCGUUUUGUUUGUAAGAUUUAGAUUUGCUAUGGCAACCCGCUGGCAUGGAAGGAGCGCCAGGAAAUGUCAGGGUGAGGUGGGCUCGGUGGAACGGCGCGGCGGGGGACCGGCACACCGGGCGAGGCGGAGGUAACGGCAGUUCUCCUCCUCCCCCCUCCAUCCCCACCACCGGGAUUCGGCCGGUUUUACCGGAGGGAUGUGGGGCAGAGGAGAAAUCGCCACGUUACUUUGAUCACUGCGGUCCGGCAGCAUCCCUCACUGGGGACGGGAAUGGGGCGAAGCGGCCACAGCAAAAGGGAGCACCCAGGCUGGCGUGGGCAGAGCCCCAGGAAGACCACCCACCCCACAGCACCCUCGCCCUGGAGAUCAAAGGAUGGAGGAGCCCCGUGGGGCACCGUGGACUGGACUUUCCUGCCCGUGGGAGCCGCCAGGCUGGGAGGAGGCUGCUCCUGGCACGGGUUUGCAGCGGCAAAGUUGUACGUGGCUGCCGGGGACGGGCUGGUUUGGUCGCAUCCCUCCACGGCAAGUGCAGUGCCUGCGGAGCCAAGCAAGGGAAGUUAGCUGUGCUCCCCCAAGGGUGCUCGAGAGCCCUUCGCCUCUCCUGGACGGGGCAGCUGCCUGGCAGCGCACCGGGGGCUUUGCUGACUGCACCCCACAAUCGGGACAUCGGGACCCCCCACAAGCGACCGACAGCAACAAGGACAUGAGUGAAGAGGUGCCACCGCAUGCCCGGGGGACAGCGUGAGGGUCAGCCUCUUUGCAAGCGACCCGGCACAAAGCACGGCUCUCGGUAAGGAUUUUUUGGAGCAGCCCACGGGAAUGGGGCAGGAGGUGGGGACCCCACAAACGCCACAGCGGUGCCCAGGUCACCCCAGACGUCUCACUGCUUUAGGAGCAUCGCCUUAAAGGACUUACAGGAGUUUUGCAGGACACAACUCCCUCCCCUGCCCGGGCGGGAGCUCUUCUCCCCAUUAGACACCGGCAGCGAUGUGGUUUUUCAUGCUCCUGCUGUCACCUGCCCUCUUUCAAGAUGUCCCAGGCUGUCACCAACCACUUAAAUACAUGCUGGCCCCAAACUCCUGCCUAUCCCCACUGCAGGAGGCUGGAGCCAAACCCUAAUAGAAAUGUCCCCAAGCGCACGGUGGGAUGGGGACUGCUGUUGUAGGGAUGGCAGAAAUUAUUUGGGCAGGGAGUUGGCAUUGUGGUGACACUGUCACCUCCUGGCCGUCCUGUGGGAACUCAACCCCGGUUGUCACUGGGCUGGGCCUGGGCUCACACCAUGUUCUCCCAUUAACAGGUGACAUGAGUGGAUGCCGUGGGGUCCAGGUGCCCAAGAAAGGCUGGAGAAAACCAAGGCUGGGAUGGAAGCGUGGGCAGGAUCCGUGCAGAUGCCCUUCCCAUCCCCAGGGUAAGGGCUUCCUCCCUCUUUUCCCAUAUAAGCAGCCCCAAGGCUGAAGCCAGACAUGCCCAGGGGGUCCCACCCGGGGGUGCCCCCCAUACCUCGGUGCCAGACGGGUUGCACGGACCGCGAGAUGACACCCCAGGAAGCUGGAAGGACACAGCCGCUGCCACCAAGCCCGAGGCACCGGGAGGAUGAGGUCUGCAGCAAAAUGAGGCGAAAGGGAAAAAAAAAAAUCACACGCAUUAAAGGUGUUCAAAGCCCCCAGCCGUGUUGCAGCCUGGUAUCC
ensembl:lncRNA